UAUCAAAGCAAAUAACCUUGCUUCGGUAUAAAUCACCAGGCCAGUCAGCGUACCGUUUGUUCCCAGAUCCCAAGGUUGCUUUAUACGCAAAACAAAGACAUUAAAAAAAGUGUAAAAUCCCAACAAUUUAUUAAACACUUAGUUACAAACAUUUAACAGGUUACAGUAAAAUCCCAACAAUUUAUUAAACACUGAGUUACAAACAUUUAACAUGUUACAGUAAAACAUUGAGUGCCAUUAGGAGCUAACACAGAAUACCCGUAUCAGUUAACUUGUGGUAAAGUUCAAUGUUUCUCCGACAUACAAAGUUCCCAUUUGCCCCAGCCUCCUUUUUUAUUAUUUUUCUUUCUCUCCAGAACAACGUUCCUAUCCAC